GGGAUAGCCCAGGGAAACCUGGAUUAAUACCGGAUGACGACGGGACCCGCGAAGGCGGGACCCGGGAAAGGCGCUGCGGCGCCGCCGGGGAUGAGUCUGCGUCCCAUUAGCUAGACGGCGGGGUAACGGCCCACCGUGGCGACGAUGGGUAGCCGGCCUGAGAGGGUGGACGGCCACAUUGGAACUGAGACACGGUCCAGACUCCUACGGGAGGCAGCAGCUAAGAAUCUUCCGCAAUGGGCGAAAGCCUGACGGAGCGACGGUCCCGCGUGAAACGAAGAAGGCCGUGAGGUUGUAAAGUUCUUUUCGGGAGGGGGAACAACCGUGGCAGGGAAUGGCCGCGGGAUGACGUGAAUCCCGGAAUAAGCCCCGGCUAACUACGUGCCAGCAGCGGC
rnacentral:rRNA from 1 species